AGGCCCUUCACCAGCCCCAGACCUUCUGCUGAAGACACCAUUUCAGACAUUGACAACAGAACGGGUAAGAGGCCACCCUAGAAAACAAUCCCGUGAGUGAUAUGAAUUAUCUUCGUGAACCGGAGCAAGUCGCUUUGCCUUCCAGAACCUUCUCUGAGAUGGAAGGAUGAUCUGAAAAUAUGGCUCCCGGGUAAACCUCAGCCCUGGCUGGCAGAUCUGGCUGGCUAAUGGGACCCCCCUUUUCCUCUCCACGGCUCCUGUGCCUUGCCCUCAAGACUGUGUGUGUAUUCCAAGAGGACCACAUUCCCAGGUGGGGGUGUAUUGUUCUUAUAAUGAAGGCUUACAGAAUUUUCUCGAAUGUUGCAUCUAGUUUUAGCAUUCUGAAUCUGUGAAUCACAAAUUAGAAUUGGUGCCUUUGGAAGAGGAGAUGGGACAUGAAACCUGCUCCAGCUUCUGAUAAUGCCCUAAACAGCAGCUCAAAAUACAGCUAAAAGAACCCAGAAAACAAAAUAGUUGAGGAAUCAAAUCUACACAUCUCUAGUGACCUGCCCAAGAUAAUGCAGCUAAUUAGAUAAUUCAUCAGAGUGAAGAUUUGAGACAGAAUACAGAAAUUUUUUUUUAAAGCCUUCUGUACUGACAUUUGUUUCCAUUAAACUUGAUACCACUUCUAUCCUUUGUUUGUCAACUUUUAUCGCUGAGAAAUAAUGUUGCAAUAAGCUGGAAUCAAAGAAAUUGGUGAGAGAAAUUGUGCUGACAUGUUUGGGGUUGUCUUUGUAUUCUCUGAAACCACAGAAAACAUUUGAUUAA